GUUUUACCUGUAAUGAAAAAGAACGGCGCGAUUUUAUACGAGAUACAGGAUACAACGAAUCGUUUAAGGUGUAGCAGCAUCGGUGGAUAGUGUUCGCGAUUUCGAGUGGACGUCCGUUUGAACUCGGACAGCACACCUGCCUCUCUUGACCUAAGUGUCCGAUGGGUCAACUCUAAAGUAAACAUCCCGCGUCAAUCAGCGAUACCAGAGGAUAUGCGACCACGAGGCUACACAAUCGUAAGAUCGGAAGGAUCGUCAUACUCUUCGCGUUAUAUUAUACAGUGCAAAUAAAUUAACUGAACAUAAUA